rnacentral:RNase_P_RNA from 1 species
UAUGCGGGCCGGAUGGUCGCGGGAGGCCUUCGGGCCUCAUGAGGAAAGUCCGGGCUUCUUGAGGCAGGAUGCCGGCUAACGGCCGGGCGGGGAAACCCGACGGAAAGUGCUGAAGAAACUUAAACUCCCACUGGCGCAUUCGCGUUAAGAGAAAAGCUGAGAAGGUGCGGUAAGAGCGCACCAGCAUGUUGGUAACAGCAUGGCUUGGUAAACCCCAUCCGAAGCAAGGGCGAAUAGGCAUGCGAUACGGUUGAGCCUCUCCGUGCAUGCGGGUAGCCUGCUCGAGGCGCGCGGCGACGCGCGUCCUAGAUAAAUGACCGUCUUCGAAGACAGAACCCGGCUUAUAGGCCCGCUACGGC